GGGCAUGCUCUACCGACCUGAUCGAGGUCACCUGUAGAAAAUGGUUGGGUUGGUCGGCUGGCGCCGGCCGGGCCUCCUGAGCGGGUGACAAAGCCCCAUACGCUCGAGGACCGGACGCGGUGCCGCCGCUGCCUUUCGGGCCCGUCCCCCCGGAGAGGGGGACGGCGACCCAACACACAAGCCGGGCUUGAGGGCAGCAAUGACGCUCGGACAGGCAUGCCCCCCGGAAUACCGGGGGGCGCAAUGUGCGUUCAAAGACUCGAUGAUUCACUGAAUUCUGCUAUUCACAUUAUUUAUCGCAUUUCGCUGCGUUCUUCAUCGAUGCCGGAACCAAGAGAUCCAUUGUUGAAAGUUUUAACUGAUUGCAUUCAAUCAACUCAGACUGCACGCUUUCAAACAGUGUUCGUGUUGGGGUCUCCGGCGGGCACGGGCCCGGAGGCAACAGGCGACAGAUAGACGGCGAAGGAAGGUUGGAACCCGAGGAGCCACGCUCGACAAUAAACCCUCCUGAGGAGCCCCUUCCGAAGUUUCGUCUUUCAAAUCUU
rnacentral:misc_RNA from 1 species